AUGAACGCUAGCGACAGGCCUAACACAUGCAAGUCGAGGGGCAGCACAAGGAGCAAUCUGAGGUGGCGACCGGCGCACGGGUGAGCAACACGUAUGCAACCUGCCUGUAAGCGGGGAAUAACCCGUUGAAAGACGGACUAAUACCGCAUAAUACUAAAUUACUGCAUGGUAAUUUAUUUAAACAUUUAUGGCUUACAGAUGGGCAUGCGCAUGAUUAGCUAGUUGGAGAGGUAACGGCUCCCCAAGACAACGAUCAUUAGGGGUUCUGAGAGGAAGGUCCCCCACACUGGUACUGAGACACGGACCAGACUCCUACGGGAGGCAGCAGUGAGGAAUAUUGGUCAAUGGACGAGAGUCUGAACCAGCCAAGUCGCGUGCAGGAAGAAUGUCCUAUGGAUUGUAAACUGCUUUUGCAGGGGAAUAAAGUGCAUCACGUGUGAUGUUUUGUAUGUACUCUGCGAAUAAGGAUCGGCUAACUCCGUGCCAGCAGCUGC
rnacentral:rRNA from 1 species